AGUUUGAUCCUGGCUCAGGACGAACGCUGGCGGCGUGCUUAACACAUGCAAGUCGAACGAUGAAGCGGGGACUUUUUGUUUUCGUGGAUUAGUGGCGAACGGGUGAGUAACACGUGAGUAACCUGCCCCCUUCUUUGGGAUAACUGUCGGAAACGGUGGCUAAUACUGGAUAUUCAGGUCGCACCGCAUGGUGUGGUUUGGAAAGGUUUUUUCUGGUGGGGGAUGGGCUCGCGGCCUAUCAGCUUGUUGGUGGGGUGAUGGCCUACCAAGGCUUUGACGGGUAACCGGCCUGAGAGGGUGACCGGUCACACUGGGACUGAGAUACGGCCCAGACUCCUACGGGAGGCAGCAGUGGGGAAUAUUGCACAAUGGGCGAAAGCCUGAUGCAGCGACGCCGCGUGAGGGAUGGAGGCCUUCGGGUUGUAAACCUCUUUCAGUAAGGGUGAAGGCUCUCUUUUGUGGAGGGUUGACAGUACUUGCAGAAGAAGCGCCGGCUAACUACGUGCCAGCAGCCGCGGUAAUA
rnacentral:rRNA from 2 species